CGGAUCGUAAAGCCCUGUCGGAUGGGAAGAAAAACGGUAUGGCUAACAUCCAUGCCGCUUGACGGUACCAUAAGAGGAAGCCCCGGCUAACUUCGUGC
rnacentral:rRNA from 1 species